AUUGAACGCUGGCGGCAUGCCUUACACAUGCAAGUCGAACGGCAGCACGGGAGCAAUCCUGGUGGCGAGUGGCGAACGGGUGAGUAAUAUAUCGGAACGUGCCCAGUCGUGGGGGAUAACGUAGCGAAAGCUACGCUAAUACCGCAUACGAUCUAUGGAUGAAAGCGGGGGAUCGCAAGACCUCGCGCGAUUGGAGCGGCCGAUAUCAGAUUAGGUAGUUGGUGAGGUAAAGGCUCACCAAGCCGACGAUCUGUAGCUGGUCUGAGAGGACGACCAGCCACACUGGGACUGAGACACGGCCCAGACUCCUACGGGAGGCAGCAGUGGGGAAUUUUUGGACAAUGGGCGCAAGCCUGAUCCAGCAAUGCCGCGUGCAGGAUGAAGGCCUCGGUUGUAACGUUAGCUUUGUUACGGUAACGAAACCGGUAGGAGGCGUCUAAUAACAGUUUAGUCGUAAUAGUACGGUACC
rnacentral:rRNA from 1 species